UAUUCGCUUCAGGAUGGACUCGCGUCCAAUUAGCUAGUUGGUGAGGUAACGGCCCACCAAGGCGACGAUUGGUAGCCGGACUGAGAGGUUGAACGGCCACAUUGGGACUGAGACACGGCCCAGACUCCUACGGGAGGCAGCAGUGAGGGAUAUUGGUCAAUGGGGGAAACCCUGAACCAGCAACGCCGCGUGAGGGAUGACGGUCUUCGGAUUGUAAACCUCUGUCCUCUGUGAAGAUAAUGACGGUAGCAGAGGAGGAAGCUCCGGCUAACUACGUGCCAGCAGCCGCGGUAAUACGUAGGGAGCAAGCGUUGUCCGGAUUUACUGGGUGUAAAGGGUGCGUAGGCGGCUCGGCAAGUCAGAGGUGAAAUCCAUGGGCUUAACCCAUGAACUGCCUUUGAAACUGUCGAACUUGAGUGAAGUAGAGGUAGGCGGAAUUCCCGGUGUAGCGGUGAAAUGCGUAGAGAUCGGGAGGAACACCAGUGGCGAAGGCGGCCUACUGGGCUUUAACUGACGCUGAGGCACGAAAGCAUGGGUAGCAAACAGGAUUAGAUACCCUGGUAGUCCAUGCCGUAAACGAUGAUUACUAGGUGUGGGGGGCCUGACCCCCUCCGUGCCGGAGU
rnacentral:rRNA from 1 species